ensembl:miRNA gga-mir-1764 gga-mir-1764
ACCUGCUUGGCGUUCCAUGGUGGCUCAGGCAGCAGGAGGCUUGUGAGAUGCUGGCGUUCAAGCUGCUUGUUGGCUGGGGAGCUGUGGAUGUGGACAACUAGGU